GAUGAACGCUGGCGGCGUGCUUAACACAUGCAAGUCGAACGGAAAGGCCCAAGCUUGCUUGGGUACUCGAGUGGCGAACGGGUGAGUAACACGUGGGUGAUCUGCCCUGCACUUCGGGAUAAGCCUGGGAAACUGGGGCUAAUACCGGAUAGGACCACUUCUUGGAUGUUGUGGUGGAAAGUUUUUUCGGUGUGGGAUGAGCUCGCGGCCUAUCAGCUUGUUGGUGGGGUAAUGGCCUACCAAGGCGUCGACGGGUAGCCGGCCUGAGAGGGUGUACGGCCACAUUGGGACUGACAUACGGCCCAGCCUCCUACGGGAGGCCGCAGUGGGGAAGAUUGCCCAAUGGGCGCCAGCCUGAUGCAGCGACGCCGCGUGGGGGAUGACGGCCUUCGGGUUGUAAACUCCUUUCGCUAGGGACGAAGCGUUUUGUGACGGUACCUGGAGAAGAAGCACCGGCUAACUACGUG
rnacentral:rRNA from 1 species